rnacentral:tRNA from 1 species
CAUCCAGUGGCGGAGUGGUCAAACGCAUCUCCGUCUCAAUAAGACUGUCGCGGGUUCGAAUCCCGUCUGGUAGU